CCUACGGGGGGCUGCAGUAAGGAAUAUUGGACAAUGGCCGCAAGGCUGAUCCAGCCAUGCCGCGUGCAGGAAGACGGACCUAUGGUUUGUAAACUGCUUUUGAACUAGAGAAAACCCCUUUACGUGUAAAGGGCUGAUAGUAUAGUUAGAAUAAGCAUCGGCUAACUUCGUGCCAGCAGCCGCGGUAAGACGAAGGAUGCAAGCGUUAUCCGGAUUCAUUGGGUUUAAAGGGAGCGUAGGCGGACUUGUAGAAAGCUUUGGGCUUAACCCAGAAACUGCCAUUGAUACUGCAGGUCUAGAGUACAGUUGCCGUUGGCGGAAUAUGACAUGUAGUGGUGAAAUACUUAGAUAUGUCAUAGAACACCGAUUGCGAAGGCAGCUAACGAAGCUGUAACUGACGCUGAGGCUCGAAAGUGCGGGGAUCAAACAGGAUUAGAUACCCUAGUAGUC
rnacentral:rRNA from 1 species